ACACGUUCUCAGGGCGGGGUGCAAUUCCCCACCGGCGGUAUGGGGGUCUUCCCCGAGCCCGCGAGCGCCUUCCGGUUUCGGAAGGGUCAGCAGAUCCGGUGAGAGGCCGGAGCCGACGGUAUAGUCCGGAUGGAAGAGGGCAAGC
rnacentral:ncRNA from 2 species